GCAGAGCACUCCGUACGGGAGGCAGCAGGUGGGGAAUAUUGCACAAUGGGCGCAAGCCUGAUGCAGCCAUGCCGCGUGUAUGAAGAAGGCCUUCGGGUUGUAAAGUACUUUCAGCAGUGAGGAAGGUGGGUAUGUUAAUAGCAUACUCAUUUGACGUUAGCUGCAGAAGAAGCACCGGCUAACUCCGUGCCAGCAGCCGCGGUAAUACGGAGGGUGCGAGCGUUAAUCGGAAUUACUGGGCGUAAAGCGCAUGCAGGUGGUUUGUUAAGUCAGAUGUGAAAGCCCGGGGCUCAACCUCGGAAUUGCAUUUGAAACUGGCAAACUAGAGUACUGUAGAGGGGGUAGAAUUUCAGGUGUAGCGGUGAAAUGCGUAGAGAUCUGAAGGAAUACCGGUGGCGAAGGCGGCCCCCUGGACAGAUACUGACACUCAGAUGCGAAAGCGUGGGGAGCAAACAGGAUUAGAUACCCUGGUAG
rnacentral:rRNA from 1 species